UACGUAGGGUGCAAGCGUUAAUCGGAAUUACUGGGCGUAAAGCGUGCGCAGGCGGUUUCGUAAGUCUGUCGUGAAAUCCCCGGGCUUAACCUGGGAAUGGCGAUGGAGACUGCGAGGCUAGAGUUUGGCAGAGGGGGGUAGAAUUCCACGUGUAGCAGUGAAAUGCGUAGAGAUGUGGAGGAACACCGAUGGCGAAGGCAGCCCCCUGGGUCAAAACUGACGUUCAUGCACGAAAGCGUGGGGAGCAAACAGG
rnacentral:rRNA from 1 species